UACGUAGGCAGCGAGCGUUGUUCGGAGUUACUGGGCGUAAAGGGUGUGUAGGCGGUUUUCUAAGUUUGGUGUGAAAUCUCCCGGCUCAACCGGGAGGGUGCGCCGAAAACUGGGAGACUAGAGUGCGGGAUGGGAGAGUAGAAUUCCUGGUGUAGCGGUGAAAUGCGUAGAUAUCAGGAGGAAUACCGGUGGCGAAGGCGGGUCUCUGGGCCGAUACUGACGCUGAGGAGCGAAAGCGUGGGGAGCGAACAGG
rnacentral:rRNA from 1 species